CGGGGUCGAUGUGCCGUCGGGAUCGGGUUUUGGGGAGACACAAACCAUCAGCCCACAGCACCGCCGGCCUCGCUUUGACCAGCGGUACGCAAAGCCUUUAUGGGGUGGCCAGGGGCCUCCCCCUGCAGCCGUGGCCAGAGGAGAGCAGGCAGUUCCCAGAGGCCCAACUGAAGGCUCCGGAAGAGGGAGUCCAUUGACGUGGCCCCCACAGGACAGUGGCGCCCCCCACAGGACAGCGUCCCAGGGACACACAGUGCACAGAGGGUCCACAAGGGACCGAGUCACUCCAUGGCAUCGCCCCCCCCCCCACCCCAUGGGAGCUGUCAACAGGCUCUCCAUCGCCGCCCCCCCACCCCACCUGCUGUGGGUUAGCUCCAGCCCUGUCAUAGCUCACCAGGACCAAGUGCCUCGUGCAUGGGUCCAGCCGGCUCCCCAGCGAGGUCUCCCCUCCCCAACCCAAGCCCACAGCUGCAGGGCUGGGGCUCCUAAGCCAGCUCGCUCUUGGCCAACUUGUGUUCACUGGUGCCCAGUGGCUGCACGGUAGGAGCUGACCCCUGGGCAUGGCCUGGGGCCCAGAGAUGCCAAUUCCCAGGGCUGGGAGACACAUCAGAGCGUGGGUCCUCUAGUGGACAAAAGGUUCCUAUGAGCCCAGCUUCGCCCCUCAGUUUCCUCCCCGCCCCCCUUCCUUCCUCCCUUCCCCCCCUAAGCCCUUGUCUGUGCUGCGCUCUGCACUGAAGCCCCAUGGGCACAUCGCGGACCAAGGCCACGCUCUGCCUUCUCAGGUCUAAUGGGCUGUGUGGGAAGACCGACUGAGUCCGAUGAUGUGCCAGGGCCUGGCGUGCGGUGAAAGGUGUGCAAGUGUCUCCUGUUACUAUGAACAACUAGCAGCCACCCAGCAGCUGACCCUGUCCGCGCCGCCCGAGCCCCACCCCCCCGGUCCCACCAGCACAUGGACAUUUGGGGUACAGUAAGGACCAUGGUGCAGCAUGGACAGAGACCCGUGGAGCCCAGAGCCAGCCCCACAACCGAUCCCCUGCCCGGGAUGCCUCUCUCCUUGAAGGUCCUGGGACCCUGCCAGGAGCCUGGCCCCAGGAGAGGAGUCCGGAGUGCUGGGGGAAGCGCUCCCCACAGUGGACAGACCCCAGCCGUGCUCCUGGCAGGGAGCACAGCCCUUAUCUUGCCUCCUAGAAGAGAAAGGGAACAGGACCUUGCAGCAGGAGGCCGGGGAAGCCGGGACGUAGGGGCUCGGCCACCGCCUCCUUUCUCAGGGAAAAGGGGGCAGCUCCCAGGCAGAGGCUGAGCCCUGGUCACAUGGAGGAGACCCUGGAUGCACCCGAAGUGGCCAGCGGGGGGCCCUCGGCAGCAGGCAGCCUGCACAGGCGGUAAGCCUUCCCUUCAUCAUCCGCAGCAAAGCAUUUACAGUCAAUAAACGGGCUAAUUAAUUCUCUUCAAAGACCUCUCAAUUAUUCAUCCCCGGCUACAGAGAG